rnacentral:rRNA from 1 species
UAACACCGGCACCUCAAGUGGUAGCCACUAUUAUUGGGCCUAAAGCGUUCGUAGCCGGCUUGGUUAAUUCCUGGGUAAAUCGUACCGCUUAACGGUGCGGAUUCCGGGGACACUGCCAGGCUUGAGACCGGGGGAGAUCAGAGGAACUUGCGGGGGAGCGGUGAAAUGUUGUAAUCCCGCAGGGACCACCAAUGGCGAAGGCAUCUGAUUAUAACGGCUCUGACGGUGAGGAACGAAACCCUGGGGCGCAAACGGGAUUAGAUACCCCGGUAGUCCAGGGCGUAAACGCUGCUGACUUGGUGUUGGAGGUCCUGCGAGGGCGUCCAGUGCCGGCACGAAGGUAUUGAGUCAGCCGCCUGGGGAGUACGGUCGCAAGACUG